CCUACGGGGGGCAGCAGUGAGGAAUAUUGGUCAAUGGACGAGAGUCUGAACCAGCCAAGUAGCGUGAAGGAUGACUGCCCUAUGGGUUGUAAACUUCUUUUAUAUGGGAAUAAAACGUUCCACGUGUGGGAUUUUGUCUGUACAAUAUGAAUAAAGAUCGGCUAACUCCGUGCCAGCAGCCGCGGUAAUACGGAGGAUCCGAGCGUUAUCCGGAUUUAUUGGGUUUAAAGGGAGCGUAGGUGGAUUGUUAAGUCAGUUGUGAAAGUUUGCGGCUCAACCGUAAAAUUGCAGUUGAAACUGGCAGUCUUGAGUACAGUAGAGGUGGGCGGAAGUCGUGGUGUAGCGGUGAAAUGCUUAGAUAUCACGAAGAACUCCGAUUGCGAAGGCAGUUCACUGGACUGCAACUGACACUGAGGCUCGAAAGUGUGGGUAUCAAACAGGAUUAGAUACCCCGGUAGUC
rnacentral:rRNA from 1 species